rnacentral:lncRNA from 1 species
CCACAUUCCGCUUCCGUCUUCCUUGGUCACAACCUGCACCUGCACCUGCUCCAUCUCCAGCUCCAAUACCUGCAAGCAAACCAUCCACUCAGCCAACUACCAAAACAAGUCGCGCUCCCACAACUCAUACUGGUUCACGAGCUGCUUCACAGCCCUCCAGCAGCAGUACACCCACAGCUACGCCGUCCUCCAGUCCUACAACUGAAACCUCAACUCCCAACCAACCACCAAGCGCCACCUCAACUGCGACAUCUGGAAAGCCUUCUUCACCAGCUCAACCUUCAGCUGGCACUCAAGGCCGUAACGAGGUCCCCACCAGUACAACCGCCCCGAAACCAAUAUCUCCUACGCCUUUUCCUCAGCCCUCAGCUGAAAUGAACGCACCUAGCCAGCCCUCCACAAGUACAAGCACUUUAACUGAAACUACCCCUAUUCCUCCUCAACCUUCAGCUGAAAGCAAAGCCCCCAUCCAGCCCACUACCACAAACACAAGCCCUUUACCUGAAAGCACCACAGUUCCUCCUCAACCUUCAGCUGAAAGGAAAGCCCCAGUCCAGUCAUCAACCACAAACUCUACACCUGCAAAUGCUCCAGCUAGUCCGAAAUCUGAAACUCAAACCCCUACCACUGCCAUAACCACCACGCCUACAUCCACAAUAGCUCAGAGCGGACUAUCUAGUCCUCCAGGAGUUUCUCCCUCACUCUCUUCUCAAACUCGGGCAUCAAGAAUUGAGUCUCAGCCCUUGAUACCAUCUCUAGAACAGCAAGGGAUCAGUUCUCAACCAGCCUCACCAUCUGAUGGGCCAACUAAGUCUCGGGUGUCCCCGCCUCCAUCUCCAUCCCCAUCUCGUUCAGCUCCUCAAUCACGAGAAAUGAACCCGAUAUCCUCCCCAACACGCAAGGAUCCCCAAGUCCUCUCAACAGACCACUUAACCUCAAAGGUACCUCCUCCUGCAAGCCAGAGUACUUCUUCAGAUCUUCCAUCUGGUAUGACAUCUCAAAUGCAAGAAAAAGAUAAGACAAUUGCUCUGCCAACAUUUCCGCUGAAACAAUUAGACAGUUCAGAACCUUCUUCCAAAUCCACUGAAGCACUUGCAUCAAUUUCUGGAAAAGAACCAAAGUUCACAGCAAUUCGUCCACAGUCGGAACAAAUGGAGCUUCUCAAGAAAGAGACCAUAUCUGACACAGUCGCUGAAGCAAAAGUUAAGUCACCUGAAAAGGUAAUGAAACCUUCAGAAAUAUCAGAGGUGAAAUCCACUAAAGGCAUUACACAAGAACCAUCCCAGAUAUCAGACUCUUC